AAAAAAGAGACGGAGCUCCAGACUCUGCGGGACUGUCAGAUGUCCAGGCCCUUGAGGCCGAUGCAGGGAAAGGGGCUUCCUAGAAAAUCUGGGUGUGCCCGUACCAAAACUGACACAGGUGCACGAGGCGAAUAGCCUAAGGCGCUCGAGAGAACGGUCGUGAAGGAACUAGGCAAUUUAACUCCGUAAGUUCGCGAUAAGGAGGGCCUACUCUCGCAAGAGAGAGGCCGCAGAGAAAAGGAUCUGGGAACUGUUUAUCAAAAACACAGCUCUGUGCUAACUCGCAAGAGGAUGUAUACAGAGUGACGCUUGCUCAAUGCCGGAAUGUCACGGGAGCGGGUCAUCGAAAGAGAAGCUCGCGACUCAAGCACCGGUGAAUAGCGGCCGUAACUAUGACGGUCCUAAGGUAGCGAAGUUCCUUGUCGGGUAAGUUCCGACGCGCAUGAAUAGCGUAAUCACUGGAUCCCUGUCUCCACGACCGACUCGGUGAAAUAGUAGUGGCGGUGUAGAUGCCGUCUACCCGCAGCAAGACGGAAAGACCCCGUGGACCUUUACUAUAGGUUUCUACUGGACACGAGCAUAAACUGCGUAGCAUAGGUGGGACCCUUUGAAGAGCCUGUUUCGGCGGGCAUGGAGGGAACAAGUGAAAUACCACCCUGUUUGCGUUUGUGUCCUAACGCUGAUUCCCAUGAAACUGGGCAGCGGACAAUGGGAGCUGGGUAGUUUGACUGGGGCGGUCUCCUCCCAAAGUGUAACGGAGGAGUGCAAAGGUCGGCUCAUCACGGAUGGAAACCGUGUGAAGAGUGCAAGCGCACAAGCCGGCUUUUACUGUGAGACCGACGGGUCGAACAGUUGCGAAAGCAGGCGCUAGUGAUCCUGCGGUCCCGUAUGGAAGGGCCGUAGCUCAUCGGAUAAAAGGUACCCCGGGGAUAACAGGCUGAUCGCGCCCGAGCGUCCAUAGCGGCGGCGCGGUUUGGCACCUCGAUGUCGGCUCAUCACAUCCUGGGGCUGAAGGCGGUCCCAAGGGUUCGGCUGUUCGCCGAUUAAAGUGGUACGCGAGCUGGGUUCAGACCGGCGUGAGCCAGGUCGGUCCCUAUCUGCUGUGGGCGUUCCAAGCUUGAGAGGAGUCAACUUUAGUACGAGAGGAUUGGGUUGGACGAACCCCUGGUGAUCCAAUUGGACUGCUAAGUCCACAGUUGGGUAGCUACGUUCGGCAGGGAUAAAAGCUGAAAGCAUCUAAGCUUGAAGCCCCCCUCAAGAUGAGGCUUGGUUGUCGCAAGACGAAAGACCCCUGGAAGACCACCAGGUUGAUCGGCCGCAGGUGUAAG
rnacentral:rRNA from 1 species